AUUGAACGCUGGCGGCAUGCCUUACACAUGCCAGUCGAACGGCAGCACGGGUGCUUGCCCCUGGUGGCGAGUGGCGAACGGGUGAGUAAUACAUCGGAACAUGUCCUGUAGUGGGGGAUAGCCCGGCGAAAGCCGGAUUAAUACCGCAUACGAUCUACGGAUGAAAGCGGGGGACCUUCGGGCCUCGCGCUAUAGGGUUGGCCGAUAGCUGAUUAGCUAGUUGGUGGGGUAAAGGCCUACCAAGGCGACGAUCAGUAGCUGGUCUGAGAGGACGACCAGCCACACUGGGACUGAGACACGGCCCAGACUCCUACGGGAGGCAGCAGUGGGGAAUUUUGGACAAUGGGCGAAAGCCUGAUCCAGCAAUGCCGCGUGUGUGAAGAAGGCCUUCGGGUUGUAAAGCACUUUUGUCCGGAAAGAAAUCCUUGGCUCUAAUACAGUCGGGGGAUGACGGUACCGGAAGAAUAAGCACCGGCUAACUACGUG
rnacentral:rRNA from 1 species